UCUUUCUUUCUUUCUUUCUUUCUUUCUUUCUUUCUUUCUUUCUUAGUUUAAAAGGAGAGUGGAUACAAUUUAGUGGGCAUGGAGACUAAGAAUGACAGUGUGUUUCAGUAGAAAGUAAGAAGCUUCUAUAAGCCUUCUGUUUCUUCAAUAGCAUUUUUGUUACCUCUAUAACUGAUAUUACUUUUUGUUACACCAAAUGUUGAACCAAAUGAAGUUCUGCUGGAGAGUGGAUAUUAAUAUGCUCAUGAUAGAAGAGAUGAAUUUGGAAAAAAGGACAAAUGGAAAAAAUGAAAAGGAAGGAGGGUGAGGGAGAAGAGGAUGUGAGGAGCUGACACUCUGAAGACUUCCAGGAAAUAAAGCAAAUUCCCCAGUCUGAUACCUAUCCCAUGCCCCAAGUAUGGAUCAGCUACAAUAGGCCUGCUACCUCACAAUCCCUAGACCUCCUCAAGAGCUAUUGAUCCUACUUCUCAAGGUGGAAUGCCCUUUAAAUGAAUUCUCCAAUUCUGCAGUUAUUAAGUUUUAAAAUGAAAAUGGGUUCCUGGCUUGCAAGUUCACACAUUGGUCAACAAAUCAGAAAGCCUUCCACAAUCAGUUCCUAGGCCACACUGAAAAACGGACAGAAGAAUCCUACUUUUACUAGAAACUUGGAAGGAAAUUUUUAAAAGGAGAUGGAACUCUUACACCCCAUUAGUUUCUUUCCUUCACUCCCCAGCCUGUGAAAAUGACAAAAGCAACUUGUGAAAUCUUGAAAAGGAUUUACCUGCCUUUUUUCCCCACAGCUAUCCAAACCUGCACUGCAGCAAACAAAUACCAAGACUAUGCGGGAAAAAAAGAGGAAGGAUGAAGCUUUACAAUCAUACUGCACUGUUGACUCCUACAGAGAAACCCUUCAUUUUCCUUGGGAGUAGGAAUAAUUGAAUGCCAUCACUGCCUAAGAUUCUCAAAAAAAUGUAAUUCCCCCAAAGAAUUAACAAUUUCCAAGUAAAGUAAGAAAGCUUCCCCUUUCCUUUCUACCAGGCACUGAAUUCAAGGCAUGCCAAUUCUCUUUCCUAUGAGAUACACUUUUUUUUCCUAUGAGAUACUCUUGGGACUCUAACUCAACAACAGGAUAUAUGCAGAUGCUCCUUGACUUAAAUCUGGCCCACUACACAUUAUAUAAGUAUAACUAAUAGUACAAUUGUCCCCCAACUUUUGGGGGUUGUUGUCAAUCAAAACUGAUUAAAUGGCUAA